GCUUGCAUAGUGUAAUGGUCAGUACGCAAGGUUCUGAUUCUUAGGACCGCGGUUCGUCCGCGUACGAGCU
rfam:Drechmeria coniospora strain ARSEF 6962 chromosome, whole genome shotgun sequence.